UCAUCUCCGGGGGUAGAGCACUGUUUCGGCAAGGGGGUCAUCCCGACUUACCAACCCGAUGCAAACUGCGAAUACCGGAGAAUGUUAUCACGGGAGACACACGGCGGGUGCUAACGUCCGUCGUGAAGAGGGAAACAACCCAGACCGCCAGCUAAGGUCCCAAAGUCAUGGUUAAGUGGGAAACGAUGUGGGAAGGCCCAGACAGCCAGGAUGUUGGCUUAGAAGCAGCCAUCAUUUAAAGAAAGCGUAAUAGCUCACUGGUCGAGUCGGCCUGCGCGGAAGAUGUAACGGGGCUAAACCAUGCACCGAAGCUGCGGCAGCGACGCUGAUGCGUUGUUGGGUAGGGGAGCGUUCUGUAAGCCUGCGAAGGUGUGCUGUGAGGCAUGCUGGAGGUAUCAGAAGUGCGAAUGCUGACAUAAGUAACGAUAAAGCGGGUGAAAAGCCCGCUCGCCGGAAGACCAAGGGUUCCUGUCCAACGUUAAUCGGGGCAGGGUGAGUCGACCCCUAAGGCGAGGCCGAAAGGCGUAGUCGAUGGGAAACAGGUUAAUAUUCCUGUACUUGGUGUUACUGCGAAGGGGGGACGGAGAAGGCUAUGUUGGCCGGGCGACGGUUGUCCCGGUUUAAGCGUGUAGGCUGGUUUUCCAGGCAAAUCCGGAAAAUCAAGGCUGAGGCGUGAUGACGAGGCACUACGGUGCUGAAGCAACAAAUGCCCUGCUUCCAGGAAAAGCCUCUAAGCAUCAGGUAACAUCAAAUCGUACCCCAAACCGACACAGGUGGUCAGGUAGAGAAUACCAAGGCGCUUGAGAGAACUCGGGUGAAGGAACUAGGCAAAAUGGUGCCGUAACUUCGGGAGAAGGCACGCUGAUAUGUAGGUGAAGUCCCUUGCGGAUGGAGCUGAAAUCAGUCGAAGAUACCAGCUGGCUGCAACUGUUUAUUAAAAACACAGCACUGUGCAAACACGAAAGUGGACGUAUACGGUGUGACGCCUGCCCGGUGCCGGAAGGUUAAUUGAUGGGGUUAGCGCAAGCGAAGCUCUUGAUCGAAGCCCCGGUAAACGGCGGCCGUAACUAUAACGGUCCUAAGGUAGCGAAAUUCCUUGUCGGGUAAGUUCCGACCUGCACGAAUGGCGUAAUGAUGGCCAGGCUGUCUCCACCCGAGACUCAGUGAAAUUGAACUCGCUGUGAAGAUGCAGUGUACCCGCGGCAAGACGGAAAGACCCCGUGAACCUUUACUAUAGCUUGACACUGAACAUUGAGCCUUGAUGUGUAGGAUAGGUGGGAGGCUUUGAAGUGUGGACGCCAGUCUGCAUGGAGCCGACCUUGAAAUACCACCCUUUAAUGUUUGAUGUUCUAACGUUGACCCGUAAUCCGGGUUGCGGACAGUGUCUGGUGGGUAGUUUGACUGGGGCGGUCUCCUCCUAAAUAGUAACGGAGGAGCACGAAGGUUGGCUAAUCCUGGUCGGACAUCAGGAGGUUAGUGCAAUGGCAUAAGCCAGCUUGACUGCGAGCGUGACGGCGCGAGCAGGUGCGAAAGCAGGUCAUAGUGAUCCGGUGGUUCUGAAUGGAAGGGCCAUCGCUCAACGGAUAAAAGGUACUCCGGGGAUAACAGGCUGAUACCGCCCAAGAGUUCAUAUCGACGGCGGUGUUUGGCACCUCGAUGUCGGCUCAUCACAUCCUGGGGCUGAAGUAGGUCCCAAGGGUAUGGCUGUUCGCCAUUUAAAGUGGUACGCGAGCUGGGUUUAGAACGUCGUGAGACAGUUCGGUCCCUAUCUGCCGUGGGCGCUGGAGAACUGAGGGGGGCUGCUCCUAGUACGAGAGGACCGGAGUGGACGCAUCACUGGUGUUCGGGUUGUCAUGCCAAUGGCACUGCCCGGUAGCUAAAUGCGGAAGAGAUAAGUGCUGAAAGCAUCUAAGCACGAAACUUGCCCCGAGAUGAGUUCUCCCUGACCCUUUGAGGGUCCUGAAGGAACGUUGAAGACGACGACGUUGAUAGGCCGGGUGUGUAAGCGCAGCGAUGCGUUGAGCUAACCGGUACUAAUGAACCGUGAGGCUUAACCUU
rnacentral:rRNA from 1 species